UUGGAGGGCAAGUCUGGUGCCAGCAGCCGCGGUAAUUCCAGCUCCAAUAGCGUAUAUUAAAGUUGUUGCAGUUAAAAAGCUCGUAGUUGAAUUUCGGGAUUAGUACGCUGGUCGUGCCUUCGGUACGUACUGGUGUUACUGAUUCCUACCUUCUGACGAACCAUCAUGUCAUUUAUUUGGUGUGGUGGGGAAUCAGGACUGUUACUUUGAAAAAAUUAGAGUGUUUAAAGCAGGCUCGCGCUUGAAUACAUUAGCAUGGAAUAAUGAAAUAGGACGUUGAUCCUAUUUUGUUGGUUUCUAGGAUUGACGUAAUGAUUAAUAGGGAUAGUUGGGGGCAUUAGUAUUCAAUUGUCAGAGGUGAAAUUCUUGGAUUUAUUGAAGACUAACUACUGCGAAAGCAUUUGCCAAGGAUGUUUUCAUUAAUCAAGAACGAAAGUUAGGGGAUCGAAGACGAUCAGAUACCGUCGUAGUCUUAACCAUAAACUAUGCCGACUAGGGAUCGGAUGAUGUUAUUUUUAAUGACUCAUUCGGCGCCUUACGGGAAAC
rnacentral:rRNA from 1 species